GCAGGCCUAACACAUGCAAGUCGAACGGUAACAGGAAACAGCUUGCUGUUUCGCUGACGAGUGGCGGACGGGUGAGUAAUGUCUGGGAAACUGCCCGAUGGAGGGGGAUAACUACUGGAAACGGUAGCUAAUACCGCAUAACGUCGCAAGACCAAAGAGGGGGACCUUCGGGCCUCUUGCUAUCGGAUGUGCCCAGAUGGGAUUAGCUAGUAGGUGGGGUAACGGCUCACCUAGGCGACGAUCCCUAGCUGGUCUGAGAGGAUGACCAGCCACACUGGAACUGAGACACGGUCCAGACUCCUACGGGAGGCAGCAGUGGGGAAUAUUGCACAAUGGGCGCAAGCCUGAUGCAGCCAUGCCGCGUGUAUGAAGAAGGCCUUCGGGUUGUAAAGUACUUUCAGCGGGGAGGAAAGGAGUAAAGUUAAUACCUUUGCUCAUUGACGUUACCCGCAGAAGAAGCACCGGCUAACUCCGUGCCAGCAGCCGCGGUAAUACGGAGGGUGCAAGCGUUAAUCGGAAUUACUGGGCGUAAAGCGCACGCAGGCGGUUUGUUAAGUCAGAUGUGAAAUCCCCGGGCUCAACCUGGGAACUGCAUCUGAUACUGGCAAGCUUGAGUCUCGUAGAGGGGGGUAGAAUUCCAGGUGUAGCGGUGAAAUGCGUAGAGAUCUGGAGGAAUACCGGUGGCGAAGGCGGCCCCCUGGACGAAGACUGACGCUCAGGUGCGAAAGCGUGGGGAGCAAACAGGAUU
rnacentral:rRNA from 1 species